GGGGCCUCUCCCGGGUUUCCGAGUCUCCCCCCGCCCGUCCGGAGCCGCCCUCAGGCGUGAGGGGUCACCACGGGCACGGCCCCGAGAUGUGGUGGCCUCAGGCACCCACAUGGUGGGGUUUUGUACCGUGGAAAGACAGGGAUCACAACAGCUGGCUAAGAAUUCCCUCUGCAGCAUGUACACACGGAGCAAGAGGCAACGCCUUGAAAAAUUCACAGUAGGAAAGACAGACCUUAAGGAGUGGGACUUACCGUG